UGCUCAGGACGAACGCUGGCGGCGUGCUUAACACAUGCAAGUCGAACGGAAAGGCCCAGCUUGCUGGGUGCUCGAGUGGCGAACGGGUGAGUAACACGUGGGUGAUCUGCCCCUGACUUUGGGAUAAGCCUGGGAAACUGGGUCUAAUACCGGAUAUGACCUUCUCUCGCAUGGGAGUUGGUGGAAAGCCUUGUGCGGUUGGGGAUGGGCCCGCGGCCUAUCAGCUUGUUGGUGGGGUAAUGGCCUACCAAGGCGACGACGGGUAGCCGACCUGAGAGGGUGAUCGGCCACACUGGGACUGAGACACGGCCCAGACUCCUACGGGAGGCAGCAGUGGGGAAUAUUGCACAAUGGGCGCAAGCCUGAUGCAGCGACGCCGCGUGAGGGAUGACGGCCUUCGGGUUGUAAACCUCUUUCACCAGGGACGAAGCGCAAGUGACGGUACCUGGAGAAGAAGCACCGGCCAACUACGUGCCAGCAGCCGCGGUAAUACGUAGGGUGCGAGCGUUGUCCGGAAUUACUGGGCGUAAAGAGCUCGUAGGCGGUUUGUCGCGUCGUCUGUGAAAUUCUGCAGCUUAACUGCAGGCGUGCAGGCGAUACGGGCAGACUUGAGUACUACAGGGGAGACUGGAAUUCCUGGUGUAGCGGUGAAAUGCGCAGAUAUCAGGAGGAACACCGGUGGCGAAGGCGGGUCUCUGGGUAGUAACUGACGCUGAGAGC
rnacentral:rRNA from 1 species